GUGAGGAAUAUUGGUCAAUGGGCGGGAGCCUGAACCAGCCAAGUCGCGUGAAGGAAGAAGGAUCUAUGGUUCGUAAACUUCUUUUGCAGGGGAAUAAAGUGCAGGACGUGUCCUGUCUUGUAUGUACCCUGAGAAUAAGGAUCGGCUAACUCCGUGCCAGCAGCCGCGGUAAUACGGAGGAUCCGAGCGUUAUCCGGAUUUAUUGGGUUUAAAGGGUGCGUAGGUGGUUUGAUAAGUCAGCGGUGAAAGUUUGCAGCUUAACUGUAAAAAUGCCGUUGAAACUGUCGGACUUGAGUGUAAAUGAGGUAGGCGGAAUGCGUGGUGUAGCGGUGAAAUGCAUAGAUAUCACGCAGAACUCCGAUUGCGAAGGCAGCUUACUAAGCUACAACUGACACUGAAGCACGAAAGCGUGGGGAUCAAACAGGAUUAGAUACCCGAGUAGUCC
rnacentral:rRNA from 1 species